AAUCAACGCUGGCGGCGUGCCUCAGACAUGCAAGUCGAACGCUGCUGUUCGCCUUCGGGUGGACAGCGGAGUGGCGCACGGGGUGAGUAACACGUAGGUAAUCUACCUUUGGGUGGGGAAUAACAGCCGGAAACGGCUGCUAAUACCGCAUAAUGCAGCGGCAUCACAUGAUGACAGUUGUUAAAGCGAGGGAUCGUAAGACCUCGCCGCCUGAAGAGGAGCCUGCGCAGAUUAGGUAGUUGGUGAGGUAAUGGCUCACCAAGCCUGCGAUCUGU
rnacentral:rRNA from 1 species